CUUAUCCGCCCGGGGAUUACGAGCCGCGGCUUAAAACCCAAAGGACUUGGCGGUGCUUAAGACCCACCUAGAGGAGCCUGUUCUAUAACCGAUAAUCCUCGUUUAACCUCACCCUCUUUUGCUCCCUUUCCGCCUAUAUACCGCCGUCGUCAGCUUACCCUUUGAGGGAUUAAUAGUAAGCAUAAAUGGCAUUGCCCAAAACGUCAGGUCGAGGUGCAGCGUAUGAGAGGGGAAGAAAUGGGCUACAUUUCCUAAUCAGGAAACUACGAAAGAUUUGAUUGAAACAUUGAUUCAGAAGGAGGAUUUAGCAGUAAAUGAAAAGCAAUGCGCUUCAUUGAAGCCGGCUCUAAAGCAUGCACACACCGCCCGUCACUCUCCCUAUGAAACAGUAUUUCUUAUACCUAAUUACCUAACAAACAAAUGAGGGGAGGGAAGUCGUAACAUGGUAAGUGUACCGGAAGGUGCGCUUGGA
rnacentral:rRNA from 1 species